AAAUUUAGGUUAACUAUAAACCAAGGGCCUUCAAAGCCCUAAAUAGAUCGCCACCUAAUUUCUG
rnacentral:tRNA from 2 species